UUAAGUGAAAGUUUGAUCAUGGCUCAGAUUGAACGCUGGCAUGACUGGCAUACCGUCGAACGGUAACAGGAAGCAGCUUGCUGCUUCGCUGACGAGCGGACGGGUGGUAAUGUCUGAAACUGCCUGAUGGAGGGGUGCUACUGGAAACAUUGGCUAAUACCACGCAUAACUCGCAAGAUAAAGAAGCCUUCGGGCCUCUUGCCAUCGGAAAAUGUGCCCAGAUAGGAUUGCUUGUUGGUAGUGGCACGGCUCACCGGGCGACGAUCUGGCAGUGCGAAGCCAGCACACUGGAACUGGGAACACGGUCGAACUCACAGGGGAGGCGGCAGUGCGUGGACGGACGGAUAUACUGCAUUCGAAAACUGGCGGAAAAGCGAGUGCUUAGCAGGGGUAGAAUUCGGGUGUAGCAUUUGAAAUGCGUAGAUCUGGAGAAUACCAUUGGCGGCCUGAACAAAAGACGACGCUCAGGUGCGAAAGCGUGAGGGAGCAGAAGCAGGAUUAGAUACCGCAGUCACGCCGUAAACGAUACCGCCAGGUUGCCCUUGAGGCGUGGCUUCCCGGAGCUAACGCGUUAAGUAGACCGCACGGGAGUACGACGCAGGUUAAAACUCCAAAUGAAUUGACGGGGGCCCGCACAAGCGGUGGAGCAUGUCGGUUUAAUUGAUGCAACGCGAAAAGAACCUUACACGAAUGUAUCCCACAGGCGCAGAAUGGUUUACAAUUGCCUUCAGGAACUGUGAGACAGGUGCUGCAUGGCGCAAUGGAAAUCGCUCGUGUUGAAAAUGUUGAGGUUAGAAUCCCGCAACGAGCGCAACCCUUAUCGCUGUUAACGGUCGGCCGGGAACAAGGGCUGCCAGUGAUAAACUGGAGGAAGGUGAGGAUGACGUCUGAAGUCAUCAUGGCCUUACGACGAGGGCUACGUGCUACAAUGGCGCAUACAAAGAGAAGCGACCUCGCGAGGAAACAGCGGACCUCAUAAAGUGCGUCGUAGUCCGGAUUGGAGUCUGCAGCUCGACUCAUGAAGUCGGAGAUACUUAAUGUCGUGGAUCAGAAUGCGAUACGUUCCGGAGCCGCCGAUCGCACCAUGGAGGUGAGUUUGCAAAAGAAAGUGGUAGCUUGAACCUUCGGGAGGCCACUGUGGUCAUGACUGGGGUGAAGUCGUAACAAGGCCAACCGUAGGGGAACCUGCGGUUGAAUCACCUCCCUU
rnacentral:rRNA from 1 species